rnacentral:rRNA from 1 species
AUGAGUUANGUAUAAACCCCUUAACAAGUAUCAAUUGGAGGGCAAGYCUGGUGCCRGCAGCCGCGGUAAUUCCAGCUCCAAUANCGYAUAUUAAAGUUGUUGCAGUUAAAAAGCUCGUAGUUAAUCUUCUGUUAAUUUUUAUAUAUAAUAUYUCGAUAUUUAUAUAAUAUUAACAUAAUUCAUAUUACUUUUUAGUAUAUGAAACUUUACUUUGAGAAAAUUAGAGUGCUUAAAGCAGGCUAUUGCCUUGAAUACUCCAGCAUGGAAUAAUAUUAAGGAUUUUUAUUCUUCUUAUUGGUUCUAGAAUAAAAAUGAUGAUUAAUAGGAACAGUUGGGGGCAUUNGUAUUUAACAGUCAGAGGUGAAAUUCUUAGAUUUGUUAAAGACAAACUACUGCGAAAGCAUUUNCCAAGGAYGUUUUCAUUAAUCAAGAACGAAAGUUAGGGGAUCGAAGACGAUCAGAUACCGUNGUA